ensembl:lncRNA
AUUUGACUUUAAUUUCCCUUUAUGACCCCGUUUGCUAAUCUCUAUUGCACAGAUAAAGAGAGGUAACCCAGGCACCAUUACCUGCGACGUGGAGAAUUUUCUGCAGUUCAAUUAUCUUUUUUUUUCUCCCCUUGAGCAAUAAAAUCUCUCUGUCUCUCUCCCUCUUUCUGUUCCUUAAAGCUCAUUCUCAUAAUUCUCCCUCUCCUGCUCUCAAGAUGAGGUCAGGUACUUCGCUGCUGCCUUGUUGUUUGUGGAAGUCACGGCUAUCCAGUGCUGGAGCAGCGGGCUCAGCAACCUGCACAUGUUGUUGAAUGCAAUGCAGGAAACACGCACAUGGGAGGUGCAGGUGAGACACCAGAACUGAAGAGAGCAGACUGGCACGUGGGGAGCACUCUGAGUUCUGCACAGACAUCUCUUUCUGGAUUGCUUUCAACCCCUAUUCCUCCUGAAAUGCCAGCUCGAUGAGUAGCAAAGAUGUUGCUGAAUUGAUGAUUUAAUUCAACUGGGGUUUGGUGUUUUUUCUUUCCUGUUGCCUUCAGAGGCAUUUUAAGGGAGGCACGUGCUCAUAAUCACGCCGCCCCUUUGAAAGGCCGUACUCAUUUGUCUGCAACCCCUUUGAAAGGCUCCACAGUCUACACUCUGAACCCUUCCUUUAAAGCAAAGCCAAAACAAAAAAAAAGAAAGAAAAAAAGAAAGAAAAAGCAAGCAAGGUGAAUGCCAGUUUGAUUGGUGGCAGGCUGCAGAUUCUGAAGGCUGUUCUCCAUCAGAGCUUGCACAGCGAGGACCGUUGUUUUGCAUGGGCAGCACGAAGCACAAAGGAGGUGCUCAGGCCUCACCUCGCACAUUUAAUCACUCCUGUGAAUGGGUGUCAUUGAGGUCCUGGCAGCCCAGCCCCAGCAUGCAGCAUCCCCCCGAGGUACUAUUGCCAUGUGAGCUGCAAGACGGCACAGAGAAGCAGAUCCUUUUAUUCCUCCUUUCCCAGAUGACCAGCCAGUGCUUUAAGAAAGAAUGAACAUCAGAUCUUCUGAGCAUGCAAAGCAACAAGGCAUCAAGGCAGCAGUGACACAAGCAGUAAUAUCCUUCGGUAAAUGCCGCUCAAUGCAGCAGGGCUUCCGAGCGAUUAAAGGAGUCUUGGAAAUGUCAUUGCCCUGACCAAAUGAGAUAAUUUGUAUCUUCUGUCACUGGAAUCAAAUGCUAUUUUUUCUUUUUGUAAUUAACUUGUGACUAUGGGAAGGUGGGAGUAGGGAUGGGGGUUGGGAAGGGAAUUUUAUGGGUAAUCCAGCCGCUGCAUGGAAAUGAUGGUUGGGUAAUUGUGUUCUCUAAAUGAACUUGACUCUAUGGUUGGUGUCAGGUUUUGUUAAGUGCCCUGGGCCAAUGGAGACUAAUUAGGAAUGCAUUAAAUAUUAAAGCUCUCUGACACUGGGGCAUUGACGGUGACAGAAGAAAAGAAAUCCCGUAACCUAAUCUGCACCCAACAGGAGUAAUUUAUGUUCCCUUCUUCUAACAAUGAAAAAUCCAAUUAUUUGGCCUGUUGGAAAAAAAAAAAAAAUAAUGUAUUUAAAGGAAAAGUUAAUUAAGGGAGGAAAAAGUAUAUAUGAAAAAAUAAUACAGAUGCUGUCAACACAGGCUGUGAGUGGCAGCUUCCUGCAGUUCUGGCUUUGUGGCUUUCAGUUACAACCAUGGAGAGUAUUUACCUGAUGUUCUCCAUUCCAGUGCUGCAGGACAGCAGGGGAUGGCUGAGGCCAUGCAGGGAGGAUUUAGGGUGUUGGUGAUGAGGAUUCGAG